AGUUCGGAUUGUAGUCUGCAACCCGACUACAUGAAGCUGGAAUCGCUAGUAAUCGCAGAUCAGAAUGCUGCGGUGAAUACGUUCCCGGGUCUUGUACACACCGCCCGUCACACCAUGGGAGUUGGAAAUGCCCGAAGCCAGUGACCCAACCGUAAGGAGGGAGCUGUCGAAGGUGGAGCCGAUGACUGGGGUGAAGUCGUAACAAGGUAAC
rnacentral:rRNA from 1 species